AGCGCCGAGCCACCGAAAAGCUCCAAUUGUUGAUCAACAACGGACGCGACUAAGCUCAAGCAAAUAGGAUUUCACGCGUUUUAGCAGCGGAGAAUAUCGCCGACCGACAGCUCACCGCGAAUUACCCGGCGUGAGGACAGUGCAGCUUCCGAUACAUUAUACCUUGUAUUUUCGCGCAUCUGAGACGGAAUAAUGGCGUGCGUACUUAUGACGGACAGAAGAACGAAGCGUGCAGAAAGUGCAACCACGACAUGCCUAUCGAUUAUCGAUGAACAAUCGCAAUUUUUGCUGGUUCUUACGGGUCGGUGCAACGUGAGACGGCUGAAACGAACGGAUAGACGAACGAACUUUGCACCGGCGAGUCGGCGACGACCGGCUGAAUGCGCCGACUGUCCUCCGGCCUCCAUUCCGGCGAGAGCAUCGGCAAUAUGAAUCGAGUUCGGCGACAAGCAGCAGCCGGGCCGCUCGGAGAGAUCCAACGACGAAGUGAAGCGACAGCUAGGGUUAGUUGUUACGUCGAUACGAAACGCCGACACAGACCAUCUUCUCGUGCAGCCAGUUCAAAAACUGAAAGGAACAGACCAAUGGUGUGUGAAACCCACAUAGGAAUCCACACGGAUCGUUACCUAGGAUCUGGAUUUUGCCCAAAAUCCCCGAGAGCAACGAUGGCUUCCCACUUGGUUUUUUCAACAGUUUGGCGAGCGAUUAUCGAUUUCGAAAAGACGCGAGACUCGAGUAACGCUCGUCGUCUUUUUUAUAUCGCGUAAAAUUUGUAAGGCUUUAAAAAGUGUCCAAGUUUUCAUCGGGAUCUCGCCGUGAGCUGUCAGAUCGUACGUCGAGUAACGUGUCCGAGUCGUUUCUACGUGAAAGCGGAAAUUCGAGACGCAUUGCGUAGAAUAUUUACGAGUUAGGGCGAAACACGGAGCAAAAGAUCCUCUACCGAAUAUUGCCCAACCGGCCCGCCGUGUGAAAGUCGCUGUACAUUCUUUCGAAACCCCCACGCACGCUCGCGUUUAUUUUUCGGAGGAGCGUGGAAUACACGCGUGCAUGUAUGUAUAUUAGGGGCCGCUACGCACUCACUCACGCACGCACGCACGCACGAUACGUCGACGGAAUCGCCGUUCUAUUAUUAGACCGCCGCGGCCCGUCUCGUUGCAUCCGACGGCGGAAUGAAUGGAGAAUGUAACCCUCUGAAUAUUAGGACGUCGUUCGCCGAACCUUCUCGAACGAAACAGUCUCUCGCUCGCCGGAAAGUGCGGAUCCGCACGACGAGAGAGACUUCCUUCCUUUCUCCUUGGAGAAUUUUUUGGAAAUAGAAUUUUCUCGCGGCCGAU